GUCCACGCCCUAAACGAUGGAUGCUAGCUGUUAUCCGUAUCGAUCCGGGUAGUAGCGAAGCUAACGCGUUAAGCAUCCCGCCUGUGGAGUACGAGCGCAAGCUUAAAACACAAAGGAAUAGACGGGGACCCGCACAAGCGGUGGAGCGUGUUGUUUAAUUCGAUGAUAAGCGUAGAACCUUACCAAGGCUUGACAUCCGUGGAAGGUCUCCGAAAGGAGACUGUGCCUUCGGGAGCCGCGUGACAGGUGAUGCAUGGCCGUCGU
rnacentral:rRNA from 1 species